GAGUGUGUCGGCCAACCAGAGGAUCAUCGCUCUGCCGCACGACAAUCGACAAGUCCGUCUGUUCGACAUGAGCGGAGUGCGGCUGGCCAGACUUCCUCGCAGCAACAGAAUGGGUCACCGGCGGAUGGUUUGCUGUACGGCCUGGAACGAAGAGAACCAGUCGUGCAACCUGUUCACCUGCGGCUUCGACCGGCAGGCCAUCGGCUGGAACAUCAACAUCCCGGCGCUGCUGCAGGAGAAGUGAUGCCACGGCGCCGGGAUGCACACAGCAGACUGACUAGAAUCCCUCCAUGUAUAUACAUACGGUACACAUGAACACUUCGUCUUCUGUGGCCUCAGACAUGCCAGCAUGUUUACCCUGGGAAACAUUUCAGUUGUAAUUCACAGCUUUCACACAACAACCGAGCGAGCGAGCGUGAAAACCAUUGUUACUUAUCGCAGCUGGUCUUGUUUUCCAUCAACACCGAGUCCCCACAUACAUUUUUUUUCUUACUUUUCAGAGCAUCAAUGAUGGUGUGUACGAGGCCACAGAGCUGAUCUCCUGCAUUCGACCCUCUCACUCGUUAGCAUGGAUCGUGAAUCGUGACGUGACUAGGCUGUUCAUCCUUCUCUGUUUAGAAGUAUAUAUCUGACUCCACGGUCACAGGCUGCUGUUCACAUCACUGUUGUUUAGUUACUGCUGAACGGUCGCUCUUGCAUGUAGAGAAACUUGGUUUGCGAAUGUUACUUGUGAAGUUGUGAGCGGACGGUUAUAAGGCCAGAACAGGACGUGUGUACAUGUUACGCUGUGGCCUGAUGUCGCAGGUUGUUGCUAGCUAAAGGAUUUAGUGUCUUACCCGCCUCGCCAAGGCAGAGCUUUGCAAAGAAAGUGUGGAUCUGUGAAAUGUUUUAUCCUUUCAGUCAAACUUCUUUCUUAUCGUUGACCGAAACAUAUCAUGUUCAGGCCUGCCACAUUACCUGAGCAGCCAGCGGGCCGCCGGGUCAUUCAGUUGUCUUAAAACGCUUCAAACAGGAUCUCGUCUGGGAGUUUUGCCUUCGAUGCUUUCAGGUCACAGCCAGCCUCCGUUAUGUCCAGAUGUCGUGGUCAAACUUGUGAUACUGUAACUCUGCCUUGUUCCAUGUUUACAGUGGACGUCUUCAUUUAAACACGUUGCUUUAUUCUGCCUUUAUGUCGAGAUGCAAAGUGUCAAGAAGAGCAUAGCAAUAACGAGGAAAGACUUCAGCCGUUGAGAGGUUCGUGACUGAGAUGUGUUCAGCAUAAUCAUCAUAUCCCGACACGUCGCCGGCGUCCAUAACCUCCCCGUGUGUCCUCGCUGUCAGUGAAAUAUAACCCGUUGCCAACUCAGAGCCCUGUGUUGCUGUCAUGUGUGAUCCCAAAGUGAACUCGUUGUUUACUGGUCACGUGUGUGCGUCAGUAACGGCCUGUCGACAUGAAGUUACCGUGUUUACUCUCUGAAUCGAACCCUCAGCCUUGUACGACUUCUCGCACCUUUUGUUACAUCGUCGACCCUUUCCAGUCUGUGAAAAGCGCUUUUUGUCCGAAAACAGAAGCAAUAACCGAGCUCCUCGACGUUUCUGGUGCUCAGAGUGAAGCCCGUUCUAUUUCUUUUUUUCCUUUUGAUGAAUCGGUUACUUGUGACUUGAAUACACACUGAAUCUCAGUUUGAGUUGUUUAGAAUUGACUGGAUUCCAGAAAACUAUUUGUGCAAUAUCCUAAACAUGAAGUCAUGCUGUAGUUUUAACUUAUUCCAUUGCUGUAAAUCCCAUAAAAGAAAAUGAUUUUAUGUACUUGUGUGACUGGUGUAGAUGUAGCUCAGUGUACAUAGGUAUGCAUAACUUACCCAAAAAACUCCAGUGAGCCCUCUUGACUUGCCGACAAUAGAGUCAGGACGCAUUCUGAAGUAGCAUGAACCUAAAAAAAAAAAAUGUAAUGAACGUAUUGAAAUGCCUUACCACUGCAUUAAAACCGGUGCAUGAGCCUUAUCCAUCUGAGCAUCAGUGCACUUCUCCAAACGCUUGUUAAAUAACUAAUUGUGUUCCCCGGCACGGCGCAGAUAGGACUUUUAUUCCUGUUUCAUUCGGGGAACUCAAUCUCGCGCCCACUGGUGUCGAUGUCAUUUUAAUCUGCAGGUAGAACGACGAGUCCGAUUUGCGCCCCGCUUAUGAAUUUCAACCUGGAGGAAAUAUGAUUUUGGAUUGAUACAUUAAAUUAUUGCGUGCCAGACUGUAGGGGGAGAAAAAAAAAGAAAAGAAGGUGGAUAGGCUUCGCUUCACUGUAGCGAAUCACAUUCACCUCAAACUUCAUUAUGUGCUCUACUUUGCAUACUUUAUUGUGACGGGUACGUGCUCUCUGACACUUUCCAAUAAAAAUGUGUGAUUUCCUUUU